AUGUGGUUUUGGGGUUCCCAGGGUAAAUUGGGGGAUCCCCAGGGACAUUUAGGGGGUACCUGGGGGUCGUUUUGGGGAUGCCAAGAGAGGUUUGGGGAUGCCAAAGGUGGUUUGGGGGGUCCCAGGGGUAUUUCGGGGGUCUCAGGGGUAUUUUGGAGGGUGCCAGGAGUAAUUUCGGGGUACCUGGGGGUGGUUUUGGGGGAUCCCAGGGGCAGUUUGGGGGGUCCUGGUGUGGUUUUGGGGUUCCCAGAAGGAUUUAGGGUUCCCAGAAGGAUUUGGGGGUUUAUUUUGGGGUUCCCGGGUGUGUUUUGGGGGGUCCCUGGGGUGGUUUUGGGGGUCCCUGGUGUGGUUUUGGGGUUCCCAGAAGGAUUUAGGGUUCCCAGAAGGAUUUGGGGGUUCUGGAGGAGUUUAUUUUGGGGUUCCUGGGUGUGUUUUGGGGGGUGCCUGGCGUGGUUUUGGGGUUCCCAGGAGGGUUUUGGGGUUCCCAGAAGGAUUUGGGGGUUCUGGAGGGGUUCAUUUUGGGGUUCCCGGCUGUGUUUUGGGGGGUCCCUGGCGUGGUUUUGGGGCUCCCCGAAGGAUUUGGGGGUUCUGGAGGGGUUUAUUUUGGGGUUCCCAGAUGUGUUUUGGGGGGGUCCCUGGGGUGGUUUUGGGGUUCCCAGGAGGGUUUUGGGGUUCCCAGAAGGAUUUGGGGUUCCCAGGAGGGUUUUGGGGUUCUGGGGGGGUUCAUUUUGGGGUUCCCAGAUGUGUUUUGGGGGGGUCCCUGGGGUGGUUUUGGGGUUCCCAGGAGGGUUUUGGGGUUCCCAGAAGGAUUUGGGGUUCCCAGAAAGAUUUGGGGGUUCUGGGGGGGUUCAUUUUGGGGGUCCCUGGGAUGGUUUUGGGGUUCCCAGAAGGAUUUGGGGUUCCCAGAAGGAUCUGGGGGUUCUGGGGGGGGGGGGGUUUUUUGGGGGUCACUCACCUGGGAUCGGGGCGCGGGGCCCCCCCAGCUGCCCCGGCCAGGGCUGCCCCGGGGGGGGGUGCAGGAGGGGCAGCUGCCCCCCCCCCCGCCCCCAAGGCCUGGUGGGGAGGGGGCAGCAGGGGCUGGGCCGGGGGGGGCCCCGGCGGGGGCUGCAGGUGGUGCAGGGGCUGCGCCGGGGGCGGGACCCCCCCUUGGGGCUGGGGGACACCGGAGAGAGUCAGGGGGGCACCCCAAAAAUGACCCCUCCCUUCCCAGGACACCCCCCCCCCCCAGCCCCAAAACCCUUCAGUUCCUUCCUCUCUCCCCCCCCCCAAUUUUUAGAGCCCCCCCAAACCUUCCCAAGAACCCCCCUCCCCUCAAAAAUUCCCCUCCCAAAUCGCCCCAAGAACCCCCCUGAAAAGUCCCCCCGAAAAUUUUAA
rnacentral:lncRNA from 1 species